CCUAUUUUGUUCUGCCGACCCUAUUAUUUUUUCAAUGCGAUUGACCGUGCGACCCUAUUUUCUCCAGGUGGUUGCAGGCUGCUCGUACAGCGUGGCAAAAUGGCAUCUGUUGUCACACUAAUUAUUGAACCAAAUUGCCUAAAUUCAUCCAUAGGAAAUACGCAUGUCUGGUUAAUAUUGAUGUCGGGACUCUACUGCAAAUCGCCCAGCAAAAAACGGCA